UUGCUAGAGAGGAAAGUGGCGGACGGGUGAGUAAUAUGUAGAGAAUCUGCCCUUGAGAGGGGGACAACAGCUGGAAACGGUUGCUAAUACCCCAUAUGAGCGUACCUGAGAUGGUAUUCUUGAAAACUCUGGUGCUCAAGGAUGAGUCUGCAUCUGAUUAGCUAGUUGGCGGGGUAAUGGCCCACCAAGGCGACGAUCAGUAGCUGGUUUGAGAGGAUGAUCAGCCACAAUGGGACUGAGACACGGCCCAUACUCC
rnacentral:rRNA from 1 species